GGUGGGUUGGCUCUGUGGUUAGAGUUUAGGUCUUGUAACCGAAAGGUAGCAGGAUUGAAUCCUGCUAGAGGCUG
rnacentral:tRNA from 1 species